GACGAACGCUGGCGGCGUGCUUAACACAUGCAAGUCGAACGGAAAGGCCCGGCUCUUGUGGGGUGCUCGAUAGGGGAGCGGGGGAGUGACACGCGAGUAAACUGCCCUUAUCUGUGGGAUAACAUCAGGGAACUGGGGCUCAUACCGGAUAUGAUCUCCUGCUGCAUGGGGUGGGUUAGUGAGUUACGGCGGUUGUGGCUGGACUAGCGGCUUAUCAGCUUGAUGGUGGGGUAGGGGCUGACCAAGGCUUUGACGGGUAGCCGGCCUGGGAGGUUGACCGGCCACAUUGGGCCUGCGGUACGGCCCAGACUGCUACGGGCGGCAGCAGUGGGGAAUAUUGCACAGUGGGCCGAAGCCUGAUGUAGCAGUGUCGCGUGCGGAAUACCGGCCUUCGGGUUGUAAACCGAUUUGGCAGGUGCCGUAGCCUGCGUGACGGUAAUGGGUAAAGAAGCACCGGCUAACUACGUG
rnacentral:rRNA from 1 species